CCUACGGGGGGCAGCAGUGGGGAAUAUUGGACAAUGGGCGAAAGCCUGAUCCAGCCAUGCCGCGUGUGUGAAGAAGGCCUUCGGGUUGUAAAGCACUUUCAGUGGGGAAGAAAGCCUUGGGGCUAAUACCCUCGAGGAAGGACAUCACCCACAGAAGAAGCACCGGCUAACUCCGUGCCAGCAGCCGCGGUAAUACGGAGGGUGCGAGCGUUAAUCGAAAUUACUGGGCGUAAAGCGCGCGUAGGCGGUCUGAUAAGCCGGUUGUGAAAGCCCCGGGCUCAACCUGGGAACGGCAUCCGGAACUGUCAGGCUAGAGUGCAGGAGAGGAAGGUAGAAUUCCCGGUGUAGCGGUGAAAUGCGUAGAGAUCGGGAGGAAUACCAGUGGCGAAGGCGGCCUUCUGGACUGACACUGACGCUGAGGUGCGAAAGCGUGGGUAGCAAACAGGAUUAGAUACCCCAGUAGUC
rnacentral:rRNA from 1 species